rnacentral:rRNA from 1 species
UACGUAGGGGGCAAGCGUUGUCCGGAAUCAUUGGGCGUAAAGAGCGCGCAGGCGGUCGAUCAAGUCGAGUGUGAAAGCCCCCGGCUCAACUGGGGAGGGUCAUUCGAUACUGAUCGACUCGAAGGCAGGAGAGGGUAGUGGAAUUCCCGGUGUAGUGGUGAAAUGCGUAGAUAUCGGGAGGAACACCAGUGGCGAAGGCGACUACCUGGCCUGUUCUUGACGCUGAGGCGCGAAAGCUAGGGGAGCAAACGGGG